rnacentral:rRNA from 1 species
UACGUAGGGGGCUAGCGUUGUUCGGAAUUACUGGGCGUAAAGCGCACGUAGGCGGACAUUUUAAGUCAGGGGUGAAAUCCCGGAGCUCAACUCCAGAACUGCCUUUGAUACUGAGAAGCUUGAGUCCGGGAGAGGUGAGUGGAACUGCGAGUGUAGAGGUGAAAUUCGUAGAUAUUCGCAAGAACACCAGUGGCGAAGGCGGCUCACUGGCCCGGUACUGACGCUGAGGUGCGAAAGCGUGGGGAGCAAACAGG